rnacentral:rRNA from 1 species
AUGCAGGGAAUCGCCAAGGCGCUGAGCCAGCACGGGAAGCAGCUGAGGCUCGCCGUGCUGCAGCACAUGAACAAGGGGAUCUUCUCCUGGGCCACCCUCAUCUCGCGCAUUCAGAGCGAGUCCCCGGCCGUGAUCAUCCCUCACAUGGGGCUGGAGAACAUCACCGUCCGGGAGAUCCUCAGGGCCAAAGGGGAGGCCCAGUCCAGGGCGGUCUACUGGUGCAGCACCACCCAUCUGGUGCAUGAGGCCGUCAAGCACAUGACGGCCAAUAAUGUCGGGUCUCUAGUCGUGCUCAAGUCGGGGGACGACAAGCAGCUCGCAGGGAUUGUAACUGAAAGAGAUUUCGCUCGGAAGAUCCUCUUACCCGGGCGACCCUCAGAGGAAACAAGAGUUGAAGAUAUCAUGACAGAAGAGAACAAGCUAAUCACCGUGUCCAGCAAUACCAAUAUUCUGCGUGCAAUGGAGCUAAUGACAGACGAGCACAUUCGACAUGUCCCAGUUUUUGACGAGAAGGUAGUUGGUAUGAUCUCCAUUGGUGAUGUGGUCAGAGCAAUCGUGGACCAACAGCACCAAGAAGUGAAACAACUGAAGAAGUACAUCACAGGGGAUUAUUAUUAG